AUCUAAGUUUCAUACGACUCUCUUCUUAUACAGAGUUUUGGGCGUUACAUCUUUAGAUGGACCUGAACUGGUGAUAUUUUUACUUCUAACAGUCCUCUCAUCUUCCUUUUCUUAAGUACACCUAGGUCGUUGUGACCCAGACAAUAACUACUAACAUACAUGCUAGUCAACAGAUGGUUUACUUCAAAUGA